CAUAACUAUAUAGAUUUUAGUUAAGUUAGCUUUCUUAGUGUUCUCAGCUUUCUUAAGGGGAUAAAAAGCAAUGAUUUUAUGGAUUAUCUGACUUUUCCUUUAGUAUUAGGUUUGCCCAAUCAUCUCCACGAUUUCUAAAUUCCAAACUUCUUGAAUAAAUAAAUGUUAAAAGAAAACAUUGUACUAAAGUCAAAAGAAGGGUUUUAAAGCAUAGUUCUACUUUUUACUGUCUGUGUAUCCUUGGAUAAACUACUCCUCCAAAAUUAUAUUACUUGCUUUUUCAGCUUGUUGAGUCUUUCAUAAAUUUAAGGGUUGGAAUAUGUCUCUCAGACAGAAAGUGAUAGAGCUUUGCAAGUCUUCAGAUGUAUUCAAGUUUGGUAAACACUGGGUUAGGCCAUGGAUAAAAGAUUGGUCUUUGUGUGUUCAUAAGAAAACCUGGAUAGGAAGCUCUUCUUCUUACACAAAGCCUCGGUUGAGAAGUAAAGCUGGGACUAUUAGUCCAUGUUCUGCAUUGAAAUAAUGGUAGCCAUGCCUAGAUUGAUUUAAGAUGCCUGUCUUCACACAGUUAAUAGUCACAUCAAGGGAAAGAGCAACAGGCAGAACUCUUGGCUUUGUAUAAGAGCCCGAGGAAAGGGCCUGAGAGAGUACAUACUUACUGUCUCAAAGUGCAGUGUUAAUGUGAGGUGUUGGGGAAGAGGUCUUGGGUGUGUGUGUGUCUGCAUAAUAUAUGUGUGGAAACUGUCAGUGCUGGUCCUUUGAGAUAUGUCUGUGAAAACUUUCAAUUAACAAAAAUAACCAACAUUAAUUGAAUACUUCUUAUGUGCCAGUCACUGUUCCAAGUUCUCUACAAAAGGUAAUUCUUUAGUCCUUAUAGUAGUACUGUAGUGGUGCUGAUACUAUUUUUAUCUUCAUUUUUCAGAUGAGGAAGCUAAAUCACGUAAAAAUUAAGAAACAGCUCAGCGUUUCACAGCUAACUGGCAACUAUUUUGCUAAAUAUUUACAUUGAAGAGAGAGGCUUGCUUUGAAGAAAUGCAAAGAGUCAAUAAAACACAUGGUUCCUUGACCUUGAGAAAUUGAAAACUUCAAUAUGGAGAUUGGAAGAAUAUAUGAAUAAGACAAUACUUCUGAAGAGGAAUACAAACAAUUAGUAAUUAAUUCCAUGAAAAUGGAAAGCACAAGUGCUAGAAGACAAAGAACAAUGGAGCAAAUGUGGCCAAAUGAUACGAAUUGAGGAAGAGUACCUACCGGCACCGUAUGAUAACACCAUGGAAAUAAGCAAUCCUUUAUCUUUCUAUAAUGCUUUUCUUUCCAAAAAGUUAUUUCAAAAAGUUUAACUAAGGAAUAUUCUUUUACAUAUAUAAUAUUUAAAAAACCAGAUUAUUCCCCCUUAAAGCAAUGACCGCCAGUGCUUUAAACUGAAGUAACUUUCCAUUUUGGUGAUUCUGAUGGAUAUAUUGAUAUGAGUCUGUAUGGAAAGGUAAACAAAAGUCGGUUCAUAUCAAUGUAACCAAGAAAGGAAAAAAAAUAUCCUUUUGGGUGGCAGGAAUAAGAAUUCACUUGUAUAUAGAUUAUAAUUUAAAAUUGACUUCUGAAUUUGUCAAGCCUUUUGACCUGUAUUCAGAGCACUCUGAGAGGGCUCAUGCCAGCAAGUUACAAUACUGUAUUUAUCAGCAGCCACCUACAGAGCUUUAGUGUCCAGCUGCUACUUUUUUUUUCUUCUGAUCCGUUGGUACUUUUUAUCUAAAAUGCCUGUAGACCAAACAGCAUUGACUAAGAAAAGAGAGCAAAAGUGUUUUCCUGAAAUCAUUAUUUUAUUGGGACAAAAGAGCGAAGUUUUCUGAAACAACCUUAAGAAGUACAGAUAUUGAACAUGUUAACAAUACUAGUAUUCUUCCUAAAAACCACAUUACACCUCACCUCACUGGCUCUAUUGAGUGGAAUGUCAUGUCAAAUGAAAGGAAAUAAAGAAGCCCAAACUGCUUAUUCGAACAAGGUGCCAUCAAUAAUGCCCACAUGGGCGAUUGUUCCCUGAUUUAAGAGCUUGUCUACUUCAUGCAUCCACUUAAAGGCCUUUGGAUAGAAGAAAAUACACCCAUUCAAACAGAAUGUUAAAUUAAGAAAGAUUCAUUCCCAUUCUACUGCCCCAUUCCUUAUGCAGCCAAUUUCCUUUGCCUAUCUCUGUCGUAGCAUUUAUUCUGUUGACCAUUUAUAGUAUUGAAUUUAUGAUGUGCAAUUUGUGCUUCUAAACUUAGACCCUGUGCAUACAUAUUUACAUAUAAUAGGAUAUUUGUUCUAAUUUUUAAAUAAAAAAAUUUGCUUUUGGAAGACAUCUUAGGAAGAUCAAUCAGGGAAGAACACAGCUGGCUUUUAAAAGUUGAGUUUCUAUUUAAAGUUUCCUGCUAUUAUCUUGACAAUUUUAUUAUUAUCAAAGCAUUUGAAUAUUAGGUAUGACAAUGAGCACUCACAGCAGGGAAGAGAGGAGCAGGAAUGUAAGUGGGAGGGGGCCACUAACAAGUGUACCCCCCAUUGUAGCCAUAAUAAUUUAAUAUUCUCAUCCUGGGAGGCUCCAUUUUGCUUGGCCUGUAUGGAGCUACUCACUGGACAUGUUGUUUCCUUUUGGCCAAACUCUCAGGGUCUCCCUUGAACAGCCUGUAAGACUUCAAAUAAAGAAUCAUGCUGAUAAUUGCCUAAGGGCAGGAUUUUUGUUUUGCCUAGGAGUCAGUAAUUUAACUACUACACUGAGGGAGGCUUCUGGGUUUUGAAUAGAAUUUCUUUCAAGGUUGUAUUAAAGUUGUUGGUAGAUCAAUAGUUUUUCAUCUUAUUGACUACUUGCCUCCUCUCAAAAACUAAGGGUUACACAGUCACUAAAUGAUACAGACUCUAGAUGUAUUGGAGUUGCCACAUGCCGAUGGCCUUAUUCUGUUUGUUCUGUACUUUGUGGUUCAAUAGAUACAUAUUUUUUAAGCAGUGGAUUUAACUCUUUCAUCUAGAUUUUUGCUCAAUAUCAGAUAGGAUUUAAAGCUGUUAUGUUAAAGAUGUUAAACAGAAGAGGCAGAUUAUUUUUUCAUGUAAUUCCUACUCUUGUAUUUUUCCUGGUAUCAAUGUAGAGGAUAACCUCCCUGAAGUCUUUAAGGCAUUAUCAUUUUAAAAAAGAUUCACAAGCCCAGAUAACCUUGGCAUAGUAUGGUACAGAAUAUACUAUAAAUAGGAUUUGUCUCAGUCUUUAUCCCUGAAGUACAUGAAUGAUUUUGUACUUUUUACCAUAACAUUGUACUGCAAUGAACAUUGGGAAAAUAGGUGUUACAAUGAGCUCCAGGGUAUUUCUAAGAGAGAAAAGGAAAAAAAAAUUAAUAUAGUUUCUUCUUUGCAAAAUUGAUUUAGACUGGGAAAUGGGGGUUUAUCUAAGGUUAUGCAUGUUAGAGUGAAGUGUUAAAUUAAGGGAACCUAAUCACUAUGUAGUUUUUGAUUAUCACUAGUUGUCUCCAAGACACACUUUAAAAAUGAAAAAGAAAUAUUAGUAGAGCUAUUAAGCAUUUGGUUCUUUGUUUUUAUUGAUUUCAAUCCAAACAAUGGGAAACUCUCAAAGAAAAUGCCUGGCUUAAAAUACCACAUUGCCAUGGGAAAGUGGAUAUUUCAGUUAUUUGUUUUUUUCAACUGCUGAAUUUAUUUUAGAAUUUUAAAAUCUUUGUCUAUUGAUAAAGAUAUGUUUUUCUUUUGACCAUAACUUAGAGUUUAAGCAAUGUGAGCUCAUUAAGAAAUGCCAGGUUAUGGUCAGAAAUGUCUCUUUAAGAUUCCCAUGACCACAUGGGUCUUGUGUCUUGUUUUGGAGCCCAGUGACCUCAGGCGUGAAGGUCAGAGGUCAUGAUGGUGUUCUGUGUACUUCUAUUGUGUGCAUCUUUACUCAGGAUGGUGAAAAGAGUUAUCAUUGCUGGGUCCAGCCUUCAUCUCCAAGGUAGGUUGAUAGAACAUCUGAACAUGAAUGAUUAUUAUUGGUAUAUUUAUGCUGAGUCUCCAUGGAGAACAAAGGCUCUUUAAGAAAUAGGCCUGACCAUUAAUAUGACCAUUAUCAUGAUAACAAAGAGGGUAGUUUAGGGUAAGGAGCAGACCAUCAAGGUUAACACCCUUGUAUGCAUACAUGUGUGUAUUAAGCGCUGGAUGAAAAAACAACAAAUGAAGGAGAGCAUGAGAGCAAUUAUUUUUCAAUAAGAGCCAUAAAUGCUGAGGUGGACAUUUGUCUAGAUGUCUGCAUUUCUUUAUAAACACCCAAAGACAUCUAAUUACCAAAUUUUAAAAAUGAAUGUGAAAUAGACACAGACUUUUUCAUGUGGUAUUUGCAUUUUUAACUUAAUGGCAUAUUGUUCCAAACUUGGGGCUAAGGCAAGUAAGAGAGAAGCAAAACAAAACAUACAGAAGGACAUUAAUAAUUGGAUUAAUUUGGGCUCAAGAUGAUUUAAAAGUUCUUGUAUAGGAUUUUAUUAGGCAAAGUAUAAGAUAAAAUUUUCAUAAGUUGCAUUCACUAAGUCCUUUGUGAUAUUUUAAAAUUCUGAUUGAAUCAUUGGUGCCAAAUAUAUGUAGCAGGGCUACUGUUCUCUCCUGAGGAGCUCACACUUUCUUUAAGAUCUCACUUGGCAAUUGUCGUCUUACUUUACAGUGCUAACUUGGCACAGAUAUUGCAGCUAAAGGACGCAGAGUGGCAUAGUAGUCAGGAGUGCGGACUCCGGAACUGAUUGCCCUGGGCUCAAUCCCAGCUCCAUGACUUACUAGUUGGAUGAACAAGAGCAAGUUAAAGCUCCCUGUGCCUCAGUUUCUUUACUUGUAAAAUAAAUUUGUUAUGAAGAUUAAAUAAGUUAACAUAUAUAGAGUGUUGCAAUCCUUGGAACAUAGUAAGUUAUUUUAGCUCUCUAUAUCUCAGUUUCUUUGUCUGUAAAAUAGAGGUAGUAUUUGUAACUCCUCCAUAGGAUUAUUGUUAGAAUUUAAUUAAUUGUGUAUUUGCUUACAACAGUGCUUGACAUUGUGUAAGUGUUAGCAAUUAUAAUUGUACAGAAUAAAUAUCAAAUUUUUUGAACUUCAA